GGAAGUAAAAGUCGUGACAAGGUCUCCGUAGGUGAACCUGCGGAGGGAUCAUUACAAGUGACCCCGGUCUAACCACCGGGAUGUUCAUAACCCUUUGUUGUCCGACUCUGUUGCCUCCGGGGCGACCCUGCCUUCGGGCGGGGGCUCCGGGUGGACACUUCAAACUCUUGCGUAACUUUGCGGUCUGAGUAAACUUAAUUGAUAAAUUAAAACUUUUAACAACGGAUCUCUUGGUUCUG
rnacentral:misc_RNA from 1 species